GAUUUGCACCGUCACUCGGGCUGUUUGGAAGGAAGAGGGGAGGCGCUGUGCGCGACUCUGAGUACCUGGAUCUGGGUGCAGAAGUGUGCAUGAAUGCCUGUGCCGCUGUGUGAGUUGUCAGGGCUUUGGUAGCGUUGGGAGCGAGUUCGGGGGUCACCUCCAAAAACUCGCAGAAACUGGAAGGGGUCGAGAGCGAGGACACAUCCCCUUCCUCGGAAGGACUUGGAAGACUUUGAAUCUACCCUCCCCCACUUUUCCGCCCCGGCUCUUCUUUUGUUGUCAAGUCCUUUUGAUAAAUGGUGGGGCAGGGAGCGCAGGGGAGCCGGGAGCCAGUUUGUAUCCGCGCUGGGGGGUGCGGGGGCUGGGCCUGGAGAGCCGGUUUCCACCGGCGCUCACCCGCCGCUGAGCCCCUUGGGCGUGGAAGUCGGGUGUGGGACUUGCCCUCGGCGUGCUCGCCCUCUCCUCUCUCAUCACCUCAUUCCCCUCUCCCUCCUCUCUGUCUGUCUAUGUCUCCCACUGAACAGUGAUACCGAGAACUUUCUGGGGGUGAGUUUUAGAAUUUUCUCCUAGGCAUUCUUUUUAGGCGUUUUAUUCCUUGAUCCUUUAGGUUGGUAAACUUAAUGAGAUUGUAACUUGACUAAAGAUAAUUUGGAGAAGAGGGGAAUGGGGCGGUGUGUAUAUGGGGAGUCUGUCAGUUAUGAGUGCCUGUGUUUAGGUGUAACAACACACCUGCCUUCAAGGGGGUCUGGAAUGUGUGCCUGUGCGACAACGGAGGAAGAAUCGACGGAAUUUCUCUGGCUGUGGGUUGUGCUGCCUGUAUCCGAAUAAAUCCAGCUCGCAGACAUCCAGCAGGAAACGGCUCCUGGUUCCCGUGUAUGGAGAUGGUUUGGACUAGCACGGGACGCGGGGUGGCUCCUCGUGCUCAGUGCUCAUAAGGUGGCAGGUCUGGCCUCCGACGGGGGCUGGACUAUCAGCACCUUCAGGCCGAGCAGCCUCUCGCUGCCUCGCAGUGCCUGGCAGCACCCCGCCUCUGCGGGUGCUUCGGAAACCCAUCGGGGCCGAGUCCGCCCGGGGCGAAAACUGAAAGCAAAUUCCACGGCAGAUGAAGCUUGAACUUUCUCCGACGCAAGUUUGCAGCAGAGAUGUGGUAGCUUUGGGAGCACAUCACGCUUUAGCUCUGUGUGUGUGUGUGUGUGUGUGUGUGUGUGUGCGCGCGCGCGCGAGCGCGCGCACGCGAAGUGGGGUGGUGGGCGAAGAGGGUACCGCGUGGCCGAGUUUGGUCCGAGGCAAAAUGAGAGGGAAGGCAUCUUCCCUUCCUUAUUUCUUGCCAACUCCUCAGCCCCUGCCCGUAAAAAUAGUUUCCAAGGUGCCACCGACGCUCAGGAUGUGUUGUGGAGAUUGCACCAGCGAGGAGGAGGCUUUGUAAAAGUUGCAGAAAGAGCUUUGCUCAGAAGCUUCCGCUCACCCGGGCUCGGGAAAGCUUGGGACCCACUCGCUUCCCUGGGGCGGAAAGAGCUCCUUGGAGAUCCCCCUGCCCUGUGCUCUCCCCUCACCUCGAAACCACAUGUGAAUAACCUCCCAUUGCCUGCACUGCAGACUUCCCGGUGCGGUUAGUGUGCGGGCGAGGCCUGGACGAAGAGGUGGCCGGCCAGGCCGCUCGUCCGCCGGCUCAGCCCAGCCCUGAGACAGGCUUCCGCAAAGGUGACAGGAUGAAUGUGGUUCCGAUUCCCACUUGGCUGCUCAGACCAUCACUGCCGACCUCCCAACUCCCCAGAGCAAGAGCUUCCCGGCUAGAGCGGUGGUCCUGGGGGGCUCGCGAGGGCGCAAAAUACGCGCGCGGGGCAGAGUGGGGGGGGCGGCCGCGGGUCUCUCCACGGGGCCUGGCGCCCGGCCGGGCCGACCGCGGCGGGUGAGUGAUGAGGGCAGAGAAGGGCGCCCAUAAAUCGCGGGUGUCAGGGCGAAAAACUCUCUUUAUUGUCUGCGUGAUGGAUGGGCCCGGGGACGAGACACCAAAUACUUCGUAUCGCCUUUAAAUGGGAACACAUUUUCCGCGGCCAUAAUUCAUGUUUUUUAAAUAGAAAGUUUGAAAUG
ensembl:lncRNA